rnacentral:rRNA from 1 species
AGUGAACGCUGGCGGUAGGCCUAACACAUGCAAGUCGAACGGCAGCACAGAGGAGCUUGCUCCUUGGGUGGCGAGUGGCGGACGGGUGAGGAAUACAUCGGAAUCUACUCUGUCGUGGGGGAUAACGUAGGGAAACUUACGCUAAUACCGCAUACGACCUACGGGUGAAAGCAGGGGACCUUCGGGCCUUGCGCGAUUGAAUGAGCCGAUGUCGGAUUAGCUAGUUGGCGGGGUAAAGGCCCGCCAAGGCGACGAUCCGUAGCUGGUCUGAGAGGAUGGUCAGCCACACUGGAACUGAGACACGGUCCAGACUCCUACGGGAGGCAGCAGUGGGGAAUAUAGGACAAUGGGCGCAAGCCUGAUCCAGCCAUACCGCGUGGGUGAAGAAGGCCUUCGGGUUGUAAAGCCCUUUUGUUGGGAAAGAAAUCCAGCUGGCUAAUACCCGGUUGGGAUGACGGUACCCAAAGAAUAAGCACCGGCUAACUUCGUGCCAGCCGCCGCAGUAA